rnacentral:lncRNA from 10 species
GUGUGUUAUUUUUAUUUCUAGUUAAGUUUUAUCUGAUCAAUGUAAGGAAUGCACGAAGAUUCACUGAUGCCACAGGGAGAUCAAUUUACAUCACAAAAGCAGUUAGACAUUGCUACAUCUGUUAUUUUGCCAGGAAUUCCCCCAAGUACAACUUUUGCUAGACGGUCUUUCCUGAAACCAUCUGAAAUCAUGAGUCAGUAUGUGCCAGCUGUAUUUAAGACCAAAGGCUUAAUGUAUCCACAUCUGGGGUAGGAGUCAGAUGUAAAACAAGCCCAACAUUGCCUUGGAAGUUCUAUAGGCUCCCUCCCAGGAUCCUUGAUCUGAUCUGUCAGCCUUUACCACUGAGCACGGAAGCACCAGGAGACAUCAGGAUCAAGAAAUUACUUGGUUCCAAAGACAUUUGGCAAUGUAUGGGGACUACUGAGGUUAUCCCAAUUAGAGAAUGGUACUGACGUCUAGCCAGCAGAGGCCAGUUGCCAUGGAGACCAGGUGAUGCACACAUGCAAAUUCAGUGGCCGUGCAGAAGUUUCAAGAUCAGGGCGAGGGAAAAGACAGACAGUAAAUGACACUGCAGAGGCAACACUAACAAGCAAGGUUCUGCAGGGGCUGAACAUCAUAUUCAUCAAACUUUGGAGUUUGCCCUCAGAGAUCCCCCUCCUGGAGCAGGGGAAUUCCUGAUCUAUCGACUUCUGUGUCAAUAUUCAGAACUACAGUCAGGAGGACCGGCUUGUUUUCCCUUCUUCUCCAUACUCAAGAUGACACUAUAAUGAGAGAGUUGGCUGCAAAAUCCCUUACAAGAGAUGAUGGUCAUCACAGUCAGAGAUAUGUCAAAGCACAGGCAGUGCAGCCUGGGUGGAAAUGUGGUUUGGAAAUUCAGAAGGAGUUUACCACUUUGAUAACAGAUGCAUUGUGUCAUUUCUUCUGGUGGUCAUUUUGACAUCGAAGCAUUAACCUUGGAUUUUGCUAUUUCUUUUUAAUUUUAAUUCCCUUCUAUUUGGCCUUAUUAUUAAUCCUGAGAAGGCUUUUUUUUCUUUUUCAAAAAACACAAAUAUUUGGUAUUGAUCUUACCAGGGAGAACAGAAGAGUAUGGCCAUGUUACCUGAGAGGAGUUAGUGCUAUUGCAGCAUAGGGUGGAACAAUUGAGGCUUCAUUUGUGCAGGGAGAGAAUUCAGUCUUCUUCAAAGCUGAUCUCUCUGUGUGUGUGUGUGUGUGUGUGUGUGUGUGUGUGUGUGUGUGUGUGGUGUGUUUGUGUGUAUCUGCCUAAAAGCUAACACCAGGAUCUCAUUUUAUCUGUAAUUGAAACGUGAACUAAUGGAUUAAUAUUAUUAGUCUGUCACCUAUAGACAAAAAGAGAGUCUUCGGUGAUCAGAAAUCAACUUAAUAUACUCUAAGCACUUUUAACAUCUUACACCAUUUAAACCACACAGACACACGCAUGGGGUGAGUGUAAAAACAAAUAGACACAUCAUAGAAGACAAUUAGCAAUUUUGUCAGAAGUCUUAAAAUAUAUUUCCACUAUGCAUUCAUAUUUCACUUCUAAAAAUAUAUCCUAAGGAAAUAAUUUCAAUGCUGCAGUUAACUAUUGCUUCUGCCUGCCCUGGAAAGGUUGUUCCUUCUGCUACUGGCACCCAAAUUCCCUUUGGGAAUGUCUCUCUUGCCCACUCUCCAUCCAUGUGUUUAGGUGGGGCCAAUGCCUUCCUCUGCUCAGAGAGCAGCCCCAGUGUCAGGUCUAAGAAAUUAGUGAAUUUCAUCGUUUUGCAUUGUAAUCUGUUCAAAGCUGAGAAUAAGGAUCAGUUAAAUUCUAAGCCAGGGAUGUCCCAGAACGUUAAUAGAACUGUGGAAAUAAGGUCUCUUUUUAAUUACAUGUAUUGCUGGAAGGAUAUGAGCUUGGAAAGGUAGGGUACCACCACACGGAGAGAACCUAGCUAAAAAUGUAUCUGUCACAGAAAAUAGUAGGGCUGAGCACGUGAACCUAGGAUGGACUCCAGGCCUCUCUCACCGUCAGCUAGAAUCUUGGCUUGAGGAAGACAGACUUUCUAUGUGCAAUGCUGUGUCUCUGCUACCAAGAAUGUCACUUGGGAAAUGCUCAUAAAUGUCUGUGGGAUAAAGACUUUGGGGAACAAAAUCCUGAUGAGGCCCCUUGAGUACCUCAACGAAGCCAUUUCUGAAGCCAAUGUACUCCUUUCCAGUUAUGACAGUUAACAUAUUCUUGUGUGGGUGUGUGUUUGUUUUCUAGCUUAAGCCAGCUUGAAUUGGGUUCAUAACAAAUAAACAUUUCAAAUACAAGAAAU